rnacentral:rRNA from 1 species
GACGAACGCUGGCGGCGUGCUUAACACAUGCAAGUCGAGCGAUGAAGCUCCUUCGGGAGUGGAUUAGCGGCGGACGGGUGAGUAACACGUGGGUAACCUGCCUCAUAGAGGGGAAUAACCUUCCGAAAGGAAGAUUAAUACCGCAUAAGAUUGUAGUACCGCAUGGUACAGCAAUUAAAGGAGCAAUCCGCUAUGAGAUGGACCCGCGUCGCAUUAGCUAGUUGGUGAGGUAACGGCUCACCAAGGCGACGAUGCGUAGCCGACCUGAGAGGGUGAUCGGCCACAUUGGGACUGAGACACGGCCCAGACUCCUACGGGAGGCAGCAGUGGGGAAUAUUGCACAAUGGGGGAAACCCUGAUGCAGCAACGCCGCGUGAGUGAUGACGGUCUUCGGAUUGUAAAACUCUGUCUUCAGGGACGACAAUGACGGUACCUGAGGAGGAAGCCACGGCUAACUACGUGCCAGCAGCCGCCGUAACAC